GAUGAACGCUGGCGGCGUGCCUAAUACAUGCAAGUCGAGCGAACAGACGAGGAGCUUGCUCCUCUGACGUUAGCGGCGGACGGGUGAGUAACACGUGGAUAACCUACCUAUAAGACUGGGAUAACUUCGGGAAACCGGAGCUAAUACCGGAUAAUAUAUUGAACCGCAUGGUUCAAUAGUGAAAGACGGUUUUGCUGUCACUUAUAGAUGGAUCCGCGCUGCAUUAGCUAGUUGGUAAGGUAACGGCUUACCAAGGCAACGAUGCGUAGCCGACGUGCGAGGGUGAUCGGCCACACUGGAGCUGAAACACGGUCCAGGCUCCUGCGGGAGGCAGCAGUAGGGAAUCUUCCGCAGUGGGCGGAAGCCUGACGGAGCAACGCCGCGUGAGUGAUAGAGGUCUUCGGAUCGUAAAGCUCUGUUAUUAGGGAAGAACAAAUGUGUAAGUAACUGUGCACGUCUUGACGGUACCUGAUCAGAAAGCCACGGCUAACUACGUG
rnacentral:rRNA from 1 species